rnacentral:rRNA from 1 species
CUCAAAUUUGAAAUCUGGCGUCUUCGACGUCCGAGUUGUAAUUUGUAGAGGAUGCUUCUGAGUAACCACCGACCUAAGUUCCUUGGAACAGGACGUCAUAGAGGGUGAGAAUCCCGUAUGCGGUCGGAAAGGUGCUCUAUACGUAGCUCCUUCGACGAGUCGAGUUGUUUGGGAAUGCAGCUCUAAAUGGGAGGUAAAUUUCUUCUAAAGCUAAAUAUUGGCCAGAGACCGAUAGCGCACAAGUAGAGUGAUCGAAAGAUGAAAAGCACUUUGGAAAGAGAGUUAAAAAGCACGUGAAAUUGUUAAAAGGGAAGGGAUUGCAACCAGACUUGCUCGCGGUGUUCCGCCGGUCUUCUGACCGGUCUACUCGCCGCGUUGCAGGCCAGCAUCGUCUGGUGCCGCUGGAUAAGACUUGAGGAAUGUAGCUCCCUCGGGAGUGUUAUAGCCUCUUGUGAUGCAGCGAGCGCCGGGCGAGGUCCGCGCUUCGGCUAGGAUGCUGGCGUAAUGGUCGUAAUCCGCCCGUCUUGAAACACGGACCAAGGAGUCUAACAUCUAUGCGAGUGUUCGGGUGUCAAACCCCUACGCGUAAUGAAAGUGAACGGAGGUGAGAACCGCAAGGUGCAUCAUCGACCGAUCCUGAUGUCUUCGGAUGGAUUUGAGUAAGAGCAUAGCUGUUGGGACCCGAAAGAUGGUGAACUAUGCCUGAAUAGGGUGAAGCCAGAGGAAACUCUGGUGGAGGCUCGCAGCGGUUC